CAGAAUUCUCUACUCUGCUGGCCAAGCUUUAUGCCUCACUUGAAGACACUCUGUUAAAACAAGGAGUCCUGCUACUCUGCAGUCACCCACAAGGCUGCAUAAGGUCCAUGAAGAAAAAAAAAAAUGAUCACAAACACAGUUCCUUGCCUGAGGGAGCAGAGAGCAAGCCUCUAGAAGCACCUACAGAGUCAUUUUCUUUCUUUUUUUUUUUCUGAAAAUAGAAAGUACUUGUGGUACCAAGGCCUUUUACAGUUGGGACUCUCUUCCUUUGACAAUGGGGCUUUGCUGACCAUGAAGGGGAUAAAUUAUUAGACUGUGUGUGUGGGUGGGUGGGUGUGUGUAUUUGAGGGGCAGAGGAAGGUACUGGGGAUUUAACCAAGAGCAUUUUACAGGUGUUCUACUAUACCCUAAGAAGAUCCCUAGAUGUGUUUUUUAAAUUUUACUGUGAGCCAGGAUCUCACUAAAUUGUUCAGGCUGACCUUGAACUUACAAUCCAUCAGCUUCAGUCCCCUAAAUCACUUGAUUUAUAGGCAUGGACCACCUCACCCAGGCAUGGACCACUUCACGCAGUCAUGACCUUCUGGAGAGAGCUAAUUCUUAGAGAUAGUCAGACAUCUUCCCAAGUUGUUCAUGUGCAAAUUAACUAAUAUAAUUUCCAUACUACCAAUAUCCUUCCUAUUAUGCUCCCAGCAUCCCAAGUCAGACUUUGUCUGAUCUAAUCAUGGCAUGUCCUAGUACCAGAAUACCAGAGAUGGCUCAUGCCCCCUUAAGCUCACUGAAAUUAUAACAGCAUACUAACCCUAAAUCCACUUAUGCUGUCUCAUCUUUUCUUCCUGCACGAAUAGAAGAAAGUCUCUUUUCCAUAUUCUCCAUCACCUCCCACACCCUCAUCUCCUGACCAACCCUGGAUCUUCCCAAAGGGCUCUUCACUACUGCUUAUAGAAAACUGUAGCUCUCUGUGACAAUGUGUGUGUUUAUGUGCAUCUCCUAUAUAUGAUUAAAACAAACCCAAGGCACUCUUACAACAAUGGCAAAUCUAUAAAUCUCCUCAAAAGGGCCAGAGCAACUACAUCUGUAACCUGUACCACUUGGUCUUGGUCGUGGGGAGGCACCAAAGCCCCUGCUUUCUGUUAGGCAUUCCCCAUCUUAGUGCUGGGAAACACAAAAGGCUUCCAGAGGUGGAGGGAAAGGAGGGGCUCUUCACCUGGAAUGUGGGAAUUGUGUAGGCACUGUUCCUGUUGCAUACAAUCUCUUCCACCACUGUUGUAAACAUGGGUUGCAGAAGAGGUACAUUAGCAGAUAAAGUCCACAAUAGUCUGGAGUAGAGCUAGGCUUGGACCCAGGAUUCAAAUUCAAGAUAUCUUCCCACCUUCUGAGUUACUUUUCUUAUAAACACCUUAAAGCAUCAAAAAGGCAGGCCAUAUGUUCUGGGUGUUCAUAAAACCAGAGUAUACUUUUCAGGAGAAGAAAAUAUUGUCUCCACUUUUCUCCUCCAGAUUGGUAUUAUAAGGGCCUGUGACCAUAUCUCUGCCACCACCAGGACUUCAGGCUGUGGGGAAAUAGUCAGCCUGUCCUGUAUGGGGAGAAGGACCUAUAACAUUCUAAAUAAAUUUCCUGCUACAGUACUAUAGUAGUACUGUAGUCAAAGACCCUGGCUUCAUAUCACUUCCUGGAAUCUGCAGUAAAACCUGCCUCAGCACAGCGACACUUCAGGGACUCUGAUGGGAGGAACCAAGAGAAGCCCCCAGCCACCUGCAGAGUGCCCUCCACUGGCA
rnacentral:lncRNA from 1 species